CUUGCUUUCUUUGCUGGCGACCGGCGCACGGGUGAGUAACACGUAUCCAACCUGCCCUUUACUCGGGGAUAGCCUUUCGAAAGAAAGAUUAAUACCCGAUAGCAUAAUGAUUCCGCAUGGUUUCAUUAUUAAAGGAUUCCGGUAAAGGAUGGGAUGCGUUCCGUUAGGUUGUUGGUGAGGUAACGGCCCACCAAGCCUUCGAUGGAUAGGGGUUCUGAGAGGAAGGUCCCCCACAUUGGAACUGAGACACGGUCCAA
rnacentral:rRNA from 1 species